CGAAAUCGGUAGACGCUACGGACUUAAUUGGAUUGAGCCUUAAUAUGGAAACCUACUAAGUGAUAACUUUCAAAUUCAGGGAAACCCUGGAAUAAAAAAUGGGCAAUCCUGAGCCAAAUCCCGUUUUCCGAAAACCAGAAAACGCUAAUAAAAAAAGGAUAGGUGCAGAGACUCAAUGGAAGCUGUUCUAACAAAAACAAAUGGAGUUGACUAUGUUACGAUGUUAAACGAAUCCUUCCAUCAAAACUCCAGAACCAGAAAGGAUGAAGGAUAAACCUAUAUACAUAGGUACUGAAAUAUUAUAUCAAAUGAUUAAUGAUGGCUCGAAUCUCUAUUUUUUUAUAUGAAAAAUGAAAGAAUUGUUGUAAAUCGAUUCCAAGUUGAAGAAAGAAAAGAAUCGAAUAUUCAUUGAUCAAAUCAUUCACUCCAUAGUCCGAUAGAUCAUUUGAAGAACUUAUUAAUCGGACGAGAAUAAAGAGAGAGUCCCAUUCUACAUGUCAAUAUCGACAGCAAUGAAAUUUAUAGUAAGAGGAAAAUCCGUCGACUUUAAAAAUCGUGAGGGUUCAAGUCCCUCUAUCCCCAAAAAAGCCUACUUGACUCCCUAACUAUUUAUGCUCUCUUUUCAUUAUCGGUUCAAAAUUCGUUAUGGUUAUCAUUCACUCUACCCGUUCACAAAGGGAUCCGCGAAGAAUUUUUUUUCUCUUAUCGCAAGUCUUGUGGUAUAUAUAUAUAUGAUAUAUGAUACGCGGACAAACAAACAUCUUUGUGCAAGGAAUCCCCGUUUGAAUGAUUCACAGUACAUAUCAUUAUUCGUACUGAAACUUACAAAGUUUUUUUUUUGAAGAUCCAAGAAGAAAUUCCAGGUCCUGGAUAAUACUUUGUUUUGUAAUACCCUUUCGUCUUUUUAUUUUUAAUUGACAUAGACCAAGUCCUCUAGUAAAAUGAGGAUGAUGCAUCGGGAAUAGCCGGGAUAGCUCAGCUGGUAGAGCAGAGGACUGAAAAUCCUCGUGUCACCAGUUCAAAU
rnacentral:misc_RNA from 1 species